rnacentral:rRNA from 1 species
UACAGGGGGGGCAAGCGUUGUUCGGAAUUACUGGGCGUAAAGGGCUCGUAGGCGGCCAACUAAGUCGGAUGUGAAAUCCCCAGGCUUAACCUGGGAAUUGCAUCCGAUACUGGAUGGCUUGAAUCCGGGAGAGGGAUGCGGAAUUCCAGGUGUAGCGGUGAAAUGCGUAGAUAUCUGGAGGAACACCGGUGGCGAAGGCGGCAUCCUGGACCGGCAUUGACGCUGAGGAGCGAAAGCCAGGGGAGCAAACGGG